rnacentral:rRNA from 1 species
AUUGAACGCUGGCGGCAGGCCUAACACAUGCAAGUCGAGCGGUAGCACAGGAGAGCUUGCUCUCUGGGUGACGAGCGGCGGACGGGUGAGUAAUGUCUGGGAAACUGCCUGAUGGAGGGGGAUAACUACUGGAAACGGUAGCUAAUACCGCACAACGUCGCAAGACCAAAGAGGGGGACGUUCGGGCCUCUCGCCAUCAGAUGUGCCCAGAUGGGAUUAGCUAGUAGGGGGGGUAACGGCUCACCUAGGCGACGAUCCCUAGCUGGUCUGAGAGGAUGACCAGCCACACUGGAACUGAGACCCGGUCCAGACUCCUACGGGAGGCAGCAGUGGGGAAUAUUGCACAAUGGGCGCAAGCCUGAUGCAGCCAUGCCGCGUGUAUGAAGAAGGCCUUCGGGUUGUAAAGUACUUUCAGCGGGGAGGAAGGCGAUAAGGUUAAUAACCUUGUCGAUUGACGUUACCCGCAGAAGAAGCACCGGCUAACUCCGUGCCAGCAGCCGCAGUAACAC